rnacentral:rRNA from 1 species
AGAGUUUGAUCCUGGCUCAGGAUGAACGCUGGCGGCGUGCUUAACACAUGCAAGUCGAACGAAGCACUUUAUUUGAUCUCUUCGGAGUGAAAGUUUUGUGACUGAGUGGCGGACGGGUGAGUAACGCGUGGGUAACCUGCCUCAUACAGGGGGAUAACAGUUGGAAACGACUGCUAAUACCGCAUAAGCGCGCAGGGUCGCAUGACCUGGUGUGAAAAACUCCGGUGGUAUGAGAUGGACCCGCGUCUGAUUAGCCAGUUGGUGGGGUAACGGCCUACCAAAGCGACGAUCAGUAGCCGACCUGAGAGGGUGACCGGCCACAUUGGGACUGAGACACGGCCCAAACUCCUACGGGAGGCAGCAGUGGGGAAUAUUGCACAAUGGGGGAAACCCUAAUGCAGCGACGCCGCGUGAGCGAAGAAGUAUUUCGGUAUGUAAAGCUCUAUCAGCAGGGAAGAAGAAAUGACGGUACCUGACUAAGAAGCACCGGCUAAAUACGUGCCAGCAGCCGCGGUAAUACGUAUGGUGCAAGCGUUAUCCGGAUUUACUGGGUGUAAAGGGAGCGCAGGCGGUACGGCAAGUCUGAUGUGAAAGCCCGGGGCUCAACCCCGGUACUGCAUUGGAAACUGUCGGACUAGAGUGUCGGAGGGGUAAGUGGAAUUCCUAGUGUAGCGGUGAAAUGCGUAGAUAUUAGGAGGAACACCAGUGGCGAAGGCGGCUUACUGGACGAUUACUGACGCUGAGGCUCGAAAGCGUGGGGAGCAAACAGGAUUAGAUACCCUGGUAGUCCACACUGUAAACGAUGAUUACUAGGUGUUGGAGGAUUGACCCCUUCAGUGCCGCAGUUAACACAAUAAGUAAUCCACCUGGGGAGUACGACCGCAAGGUUGAAACUCAAAGGAAUUGACGGGGGCCCGCACAAGCAGUGGAGUAUGUGGUUUAAUUCGACGCAACGCGAAGAACCUUACCAAGUCUUGACAUCCUGCGACGGACAUAGAAAUAUGUUUUUCCUUCGGGACGCAGAGACAGGUGGUGCAUGGUUGUCGUCAGCUCGUGUCGUGAGAUGUUGGGUUAAGUCCCGCAACGAGCGCAACCCUUAUGGUCAGUUACUACGCAAGAGGACUCUGGCCAGACUGCCGUUGACAAAACGGAGGAAGGUGGGGAUGACGUCAAAUCAUCAUGCCCUUUAUGACUUGGGCUACACACGUACUACAAUGGCGUUAAACAAAGAGAAGCAAGACCGCGAGGUGGAGCAAAACUCAGAAACAACGUCCCAGUUCGGACUGCAGGCUGCAACUCGCCUGCACGAAGUCGGAAUUGCUAGUAAUCGCAGAUCAGCAUGCUGCGGUGAAUACGUUCCCGGGCCUUGUACACACCGCCCGUCACACCAUGAGAGCCGGGGGGACCCGAAGUCGGUAGUCUAACCGCAAGGAGGACGCCGCCGAAGGUAAAACUGGUGAUUGGGGUGAAGUCGUAACAAGGUA